rnacentral:rRNA from 1 species
GAUCAACGCUGGCGGCGUGCAUAACACAUGCAAGUCGAACGAUGAAGAUUAAAUGAUUUCUUCUGCAUGAACUUAAUUGGAUUAGUGGCGGCCGGGUGAGUAACGCCUGAGUAACCUGCCUUGUACAAGGGGAUAGCCGUUGGAAACGACGAAUAAUACCCUAUGACAUCAAAUAAUCGCAUGAUACUUUGAUCAAAGAUUUAUCGGUAUAAGAUGGACUCGCGUCUGAUUAGCUAGUUGGUAGAGUAAAAGCCUACCAAGGCAACGAGCAGUAGCCGGAUUGAGAGAGGGUACGGGCAGAUUGGGACUGAGACAAGGCCCAGACUGCUACGGGAGGCAGCAGUGGGGAAUGUUGCACAAUGGGGGAAACGCUGAUGCAGCGAGGCCGCGUGAUUUAGAAGGCCUUCGGGUAGUAAAAAUCUUUUGUAUGGGAAGAAAAUGACGGUACCAGACGAAUAAGGACCGGCUAAUUACGUG